GCUGGGCGUGGUGGCGCAUGCCUAUAGUCCCAGCUACUCGGGAGGCUGAGGCAGGAGAAUCGCUUGAACCCGGGAGGUGGAGGUUGCAGUGAGCCGAGAUCGCACCAUUGCACUUCCGCCUGGGUGACAGGGUGAGACUCUGUCUCAA
rfam:Gorilla gorilla gorilla genomic chromosome, chr12, whole genome shotgun sequence